rnacentral:rRNA from 1 species
AUUGAACGCUGGCGGUAUGCUUAACACAUGCAAGUCGAACGGUAGCAGGCCUUCGGGCGCUGACGAGUGGCGGACGGGUGAGUAACGCGUAGGAAUCUGCCUGGUAGUGGGGGACAACUUGGGGAAACUCAAGCUAAUACCGCAUACGCCCUACGGGGGAAAGCGGGGGAUCUUCGGACCUCGCGCUAUCAGAUGAGCCUGCGUUAGAUUAGCUAGUUGGUGGGGUAAAAGCCUACCAAGGCGACGAUCUAUAGCUGGUCUGAGAGGACGAUCAGCCACACUGGGACUGAGACACGGCCCAGACUCCUACGGGAUGCAGCAGUGGGGAAUAUUGGACAAUGGGCGAAAGCCUGAUCCAGCAAUACCGCGUGUGUGAAGAAGGCCUGAGGGUUGUAAAGCACUUUCAAUUGGGAGGAAAACCUACCGGUCAAUACCCGGUAGCUUGACAUUACCUUUAGAAGAAGCACCGGCUAACUCCGUGCCAGCAGCCGCGGUAAAAC